GGGUCAAGAAGGAUAUAUUUCCUAGUGUGUUGCAAAAUUGGAAGCACUUGAGACUGGGUUUAUUGCCUUUUGGAUAAACAGCAAAAACAAAUGUGAGAAAGGCUGAACUUGAUGGAGCAUGUCCCUUUUCAGGUAUGUAACUCUCCAUAGCACUGCAGAAUUUGUUGGCACUUUCUAAAUAAUAAUAAUGUGACUAUAUAGGGCACUUGGCAGGAUGGCCAUCUAAAGCAUUGAUUUUCAAACCUUUUUGACAGGAAGUAAAUAUAGCUAGGUGACCCAUUCAUCAAAUAUAAAAUAAUGUAGAAAAAUGCAUUUAUCAAAACUUUUAUUCAACUUAUCCCUCUAGCAAAGGGUUCUUCAGGUCUAUUAUAGUAUAGCAUUCACUGUGGGCUGUUGGCUGAGGCCAGGUAAAUAUACAUGCCAACUUAAAAAACUGAUGAUCCGCUGCAACAGUGUGGGGAUCAAUUUUAUGUCUAAAGCUGGAGUUAAAGCACCACUGACUUAAUGGUACGUGCAUACAGUACAGGUGCUGCAUACUUAUACAUUCAUAACCAUGUCCUGUUUAGUUCCAGACAGAGAAAAACAUAACAUAGAGAUAUUUAUAAGUGAAAUAAAUGUUUGGAUGUAUUCCAGCUUCCUUCCAGCUGUUACUAUAAUGUUAUAUUUUUCUAUUUAUAGACGCUACAAUCACAGUUGUAAAGUAGCUAAAUGUUUUACUUGAAAAGUACACAAUGCUGGAUUGGUUUGGACUGAUUCAUUUGUGUUUGGUGAAUCAUACCAAAUACUAUAGAGUCAAUUGACUAAACAUUGAUUCUUUUUAUAGUAAUGGUGCAUUUUUAUGCAAUAUAAUUACUACUGGGUGCAAGUAAGAAGUCCAGUCCAAAAUAAAUAGUCACCAAACAUAGAAAAAUCGUACCAUCAGACCUUUUGCAAUUUACUGCAUAGUGUUGUCACUUCUUGGGCUUUAAUGGAAGGUAAUCAGAUUUGAUUGAUAUAGAAUCCUACUUGAAUAGUCUAAAUUCUCUAUCAAACAGACUGAUAUACAUGAAGAACUCUGUUACAUUUCUAGAUCCUCAUUCAACUAGCACUCAUCCAGUAGCACAUAAAAGAACAUAUCUUCGUGUUUCACUCCAUCUUGACUGGCU